rnacentral:rRNA from 1 species
UACAGAGGGUGCAAGCGUUACUCGGAAUUACUGGGCGUAAAGCGUGCGUAGACGGUUACAUAAGUCGGGUGUGAAAGCCCCGGGCUCAACCUGGGAAUUGCAUUCGAGACUGCGUAGCUAGGGUGCGGAAGAGGGAAGCGGAAUUUCCGGUGUAGCGGUGAAAUGCGUAGAUACCGGAAGGAACACCAGUGGCGAAAGCGGCUUCCUGGUCCAGCACCGACGUUCAGGCACGAAAGCGUGGGGAGCAAACAGG